UUCAUGUGGUUCGAGGAGAGACGGUCUUCCUAGUUCGUUCGGCGGCGGCUGGGACGGUCCUCCAAGCUCGGGUUGGUCGAGACCGAGAUGGCGGCUCGUCACAUGGACGUAAGCGAGACGGUACCUCGUCGUUCAACCGUGACGGAAUGCAGCGAAGUGAACGCCGAAACGCUGGAGAACCAACCAAGGAAAGACCAAAGUUAUCUCUGAAACCCCAAAAUUUCCCAAUGGAAGAGAGUCCCCACAGCGGCGUAAAGUGGCUAAAAAUUCACACGGCGAAGAAUGCUUAAAAGUGACAAGGGAUGUAAGACGGCCAUCUUUUCCGUUCAUAGGAAACACGAUGUUUCGAAAAUUUUGGAGGAGCGGAAACCGCCUCUUCGUGGACGUGAAACUCAUCACCAAGAUGAUAGAAAUCAACGGGAUAAUCCCCAUGACAGUGGUGGCCGUUCCUCUGAACAUCCCAGUGGAGGGCGCGGGCGUUCUAACAAGGGAGAGAAGACGGACGAUCGACGAAACUAUCGCAAUGACAAUCAAGAUCUUUAGCGCCCAGCACGUGAUGGUCCUGGCUACUCUGGCGAUUCGCGACAGGCGCCUAGAGAUGGAGAAUAUCGGCCGCCGCAUAGGUCGACCGCCGAUCCUAACGAAUACCGUCCGCUAGCCGGAGGCUGAGGGAAACAGCGGUGGAGGAAACUAUUAUCGUCCUCCUCUCCCGUUAGAGAUGGCGACUAUCGUCCACCUCGAGGCGAUAAUUCACGCAAUACGCAAAGAGAAUGGAUUGUCUUGUGGUGGUGGAGCUGGAAUUUACCGCGCUUCCGCCUCGCGUGGAACUGGGCCCAGCAAUGAAAGGUUUCUAUUCGUUUAGACUGAAGGACGCGCAGUCGUGACGAUCACAGCGGAGACAGACGCCGCUCGGCGUCUGCUUCUUCUCCAUCCAGCGUGGAUGAAGUUCGAAGAUUGGAAAAGCCCAAAGCGCCCCAAAAAGUUUGCAAACCUGCUGGCCGAGGAUGAAGGUGCCGACGGAUCAGACAGCCGAGAUGAACUGAGAAAAGUAAAGGAAGAUGCAAAGUGUUAAGGACCAAAAGGUGCAUCGAAAAAUGCUACUGCUGCGUGUCGGGUUAUCGGUUAUCGGCGUUGGAGAUUAAUCGUGCAGCAUGCAGCUGUAUCUUCCGGUUAUGGGUGUCGAAAGCGCUCGUCGAUCCGAUGGGGGGUAAAAUGACGGGGGUUUUGAACAUUCAUCCCUCGCGCAUUUGGAUUCGAAACGAUAAGUGACGUUUUUUUACACAAAUUACGACGAAUAUGAUCAAGUAGAAAAUAAUUUAAAUGUGUUGUAGUGGGAAAAUGCAUAUUCAAAGUCUUUGAAAUCAAUUUCAAAUCUACCUGUGAAUGUAUGGACAGCGGGAGAUGGAUCGAAUAUUGUUUAGCCAUUAGUCUGGGACAAUAGGCAAACAGCCGCUAGAAGUUUAUUUAUUUUUUUUUUUAGUUUUCUCUCCUUUUUUUCCAAAUUUAUCGAGAUCAAACUCGUGAUAGAUGGGGGGAAACCGAUCGAUGUCUCCCUCCCAGAGCAACUGCUCUCUUAUAAUCACCUUUUUUCUUUGAACGGGAAGGACUCGGUUUGAUCAAAAGUGAAUUUGGGUAAAUUCACACACAAAUAUAAUGAGAUCGUUUCCCGGUAUCAAACGCUUGGACACUUAUUAAUUCUCCUUAUUCCCCCCCCCCUUUGUAGCCAUGUUAUUGGUCUCUACACAACGACACUAAACAAUUCUGUGCAUUUAAUCCUAUAGACUAUAGUGUAGUUUAGUUUUCUUUAAGAUUUUAUUCCUUUAUACAACUGCGAAAAGUCACACUUCACGCAAUUUUCUAACGCCAUUUUUGUUCGUUUUUAGGAGCCUUCUAUCACCAGUGCUUUAACCCGCCCGGAAACAAACUACCGAAUAGGAAAGAAAUUAAUACGAAAAGGUAAAUUAAUAGGACCUCGGUGAUGGCUGUGGACAGUGUGGUUUUGAGCAUUCAGGAUCUUUCUCCCACAAAAAAAAACAAAAAAAAACAAAAAAAAACAAUAGCCUAUUUUUAUAUUGAUCUCUAUGUAACGCCCCAAACAGGUUAUUCAGCGGCCCCAGCCCCAUAUUGCUUUGCUUUCCGUUAAGGAAGCUUUGUCGGUACUUUCUCCGGAAAAAUUCUGUCACAAAUAUUUUAUAGGGUUAAUAAUUUGAUCGAAGCUGUGUUACUCAAAACAAGCCGCUGUAUUCUUUAUUAUACGGUUAUUUGUUUUGAAAUUGUCGAGUGUUUAGUGUAGCAUUCUUUUCGCUGUGGAGUUUUACUUUCACUCAAUCCUUUGUCCGUGGUAAAUUUCUGACAAUCUUUUUAUCAAACAUCUACAGAAAUAGCGAGAAAAUGUUGACCCCCAAAACUGUCUCGCUGAAAAAUGGCUAUCAUCGUUGGAUGAAAUUUUUCUCUUCCACGUUUUGACCUGCUGUUGGUCGUACAAGGACCUAUUCGUCUUGCGAGGACUGUAGCAGCAGUUGAUCGCUUUAUGAAAAUUUAUGGUAAAAAGUGUCCGUUUUUCACUGUAUAAACAUCAGAAAGAAUAGAACGGAGAUCCUUGUC